rnacentral:rRNA from 1 species
UACGGAGGGUGCGAGCGUUGUCCGGAAUCACUGGGCGUAAAGGGCGCGUAGGCGGCCGUGUAAGUCACUUGUGAAAUCCCGGGGCUCAACUCCGGGGCUGCAGGUGAGACUGCGUGGCUAGAGCACGGUAGAGGCGAGUGGAAUUCCCGGUGUAGCGGUGAAAUGCGUAGAUAUUGGGAGGAACACCAGUGGCGAAGGCGAUCUUCUGGACGGAUACUGACGCUGAGGCGCGAAAGCUAGGGGAGCAAACGGG